GUGAACGCUGGCGGUAGGCCUAACACAUGCAAGUCGAACGGCAGCACAGGAGAGCUUGCUCUCUGGGUGGCGAGUGGCGGACGGGUGAGGAAUACAUCGGAAUCUGCCCAGUCGUGGGGGAUAACGUAGGGAAACUUACGCUAAUACCGCAUACGACCUUCGGGUGAAAGAGGGGGAUCGCAAGACCUCUCGCGAUUGGAUGAGCCGAUGUCGGAUUAGCUAGUUGGCGGGGUAAUGGCCCACCAAGGCGACGAUCCGUAGCUGGUCUGAGAGGAUGAUCAGCCACACUGGAACUGAGACACGGUCCAGACUCCUACGGGAGGCAGCAGUGGGGAAUAUUGGACAAUGGGCGCAAGCCUGAUCCAGCCAUACCGCGUGGGUGAAGAAGGCCUUCGGGUUGUAAAGCCCUUUUGUUGGGAAAGAAAUCUUUCAGGCUAAUACCCUGGGAGGAUGACGGUACCCAAAGAAUAAGCACCGGCUAACUUCGUG
rnacentral:rRNA from 1 species